rnacentral:rRNA from 1 species
GACGAACGCUGGCGGCGUGCCUAAUACAUGCAAGUCGAGCGGACCGAAGGGAGCUUGCUCCUUUAGGUUAGCGGCGGACGGGUGAGUAACACGUGGGCAACCUGCCCUGCAGACUGGGAUAACUUCGGGAAACCGGAGCUAAUACCGGAUAACACCGAAAACCGCAUGGUUUUCGGUUGAAAGGCGGCUUUUAGCUGUCACUGCAGGAUGGGCCCGCGGCGCAUUAGCUAGUUGGUGAGGUAACGGCUCACCAAGGCGACGAUGCGUAGCCGACCUGAGAGGGUGACCGGCCACACUGGGACUGAGACACGGCCCAGACUCCUACGGGAGGCAGCAGUAGGGAAUCUUCCGCAAUGGACGAAAGUCUGACGGAGCAACGCCGCGUGAGCGAAGAAGGUCUUCGGAUCGUAAAGCUCUGUUGUCAGGGAAGAACAAGUACCGUUCGAACAGGGCGGUACCUUGACGGUACCUGACGAGGAAGCCACGGCUAACUACGUGCCAGCAGCCGCGGUAAUACGUAGGUGGCAAGCGUUGUCCGGAAUUAUUGGGCGUAAAGCGCGCGCAGGCGGUUCCUUAAGUCUGAUGUGAAAUCUCGCGGCUCAACCGCGAGCGGCCAUUGGAAACUGGGGAACUUGAGUGCAGGAGAGGGGAGCGGAAUUCCACGUGUAGCGGUGAAAUGCGUAGAGAUGUGGAGGAACACCAGUGGCGAAGGCGGCUCUCUGGCCUGUAACUGACGCUGAG